AUGGCUCGGACAGUAGCAGACGGAGGGAAUACGAGAGAUGGAGGCAGGAUGUGCGGACGACGGAGUGGCUCAGGAGAUGGUGAUGAAUGUUCUGCAGUUGAGCGGAAAUUGGCUACCGCGGAGGGAGUUCGGAGAGGAGUAGAUUGGUGUUCGGUGAGAGCUUCCACGGUGGUGGGUUUUCGGAUGGGAGGGAGUAUUAUAGGUACAGGUGACGAGAGCGGAAGAGGUUACAGAGUGAAGGUGAUGAUGGUUGGCAGUUGA